UCAGAAAGUCCAGUAUGGGGAGUGCUGUUUGCAUAGUAUACACCAUCUACUGCUUUGCAUUUUGUUCUUAGAAUUUCUGGAAUUAGUGUUCUUGAGUACUGCCAAACUGCAGCCUCAGUGAAGCUGCUGUGGGGUUUCCCAAACACCAGAUCUUAUAGACUGUAUCUGAAUAUGUUCAACACUAGUGAUAAACAACUAAAGGGUACCUAAUUAUCUGACUGACCCAGAUGGAGUUCCAAUAUCCUUUUGGAGGAAAUAUAGUAUGAUUUCCACCAGUCUAGAUGGAGCCUGCUCUAAAAACCCUCAGUGUGGAUCUGGAUUCUUUCAUAUGCAUCCUUUCUUGAAACAUGCUGACUAGAGUCCCAGAAUGUCUGCAUUCUCCACAAAUCUACAGUCUCCCUAUGGGACUGUGAUAAAGUUACUUACUUUAUGGUAUUAACUUAAGGAGUUAUAGAGUAGCAAAUUUUUUAUUUCUUUGGACAUACAUUUAGCAAUGGCAUACCAGCAACAGAUAGAAAGCCUUGUAGCAAUUUUACCACCAGCAAAAAUGGCUUACAGAGAAAAAAAUAUUGAAGCUCACUUCAAGUUUAAACUUGUGAAAACUCACUGUUCGAACACAGAUAAAGUGUUUUCCAAAUAAAAUGAUCACAUGAGGGAUAUUUUCACCCAUUUUAAUUCUUUGGGAAAUGGAUAAUUUGAGAAUAAAUAGGGAAAGCAAGGGAAUAAUUCUUCAGGCAGACAUGCUAUCCUGUGAACUUGCCCUUGUGAAAAACUGCCCAUGAGCAUAUUUAAGGGUUUAUUGUUCUGUUUUCUGUGUAUAUAAGGUAUGAUCAUACAUCUGGGGAAUGAGUUAUGAAAUGGAAAAUGUCCCCUGGCCUGAGACUACCGACGUAGCUGUUUCGGUGUUGCUUUGGCGUGGUGACAGCAUUCAGAAAUUCUUCUUAGUGCAGCCAGAAUUGAGAGUCUCAAUUUGUCUCAAAAAAGCAAGACAUGCUUUUUAAAAAUUUGCUUAAAUAGGACAUCAGCAAGAUGGUGGAAUAAGAAGUCCCCUGCUCAUGUACCCCCAUAGUGACAAUAAUUUGGCAGCCAUUUAUGGACAAAAGUGCUUCUGUGGGAGCUUUGGGACCCAGGUAGGAAGUUUGGAAGCCAUGGUGGAGCCCACAACAAAGGAAGGUCAUUUAAGAAGCCUGGCCCAUGUCCAGAUGGCUGGCUUAUGAAUCAUGGUUCUGGUUACAGAAUAGCCAUAUCCCCUAGGAAUUUGGCUACAAUCCCACUAGGUCUUGGUCCUGUCAUCAGCACCAUCCACUAAGGGACAUAGGAGAAGCCCUCCUUGCUUAUGCGUUGGGUAACAAGUCUGCCAACCUCAGUCCCAGCUGUGCACCAUGAAGCAGCCCAUGGGCCCCCUCCAGCCCCUGGAUACAUAUCAUAAAGUAAUGUAAAUAGCAAUAUGGAUAACAUAAAAUACGGUGGGGGAGAAUAAAAGUAUAAAGUUUUUGUGUGCAAUCAAAGUUAAGUUGUUAUCAGCUUAAAAUAGAUUGUUAAAGUAUAAAAUGUCUUAUGUAAGCUUCAUGGUAAUCACAAAGAAAAACCUAUGAUAGAUAUGCAAAAGAUAAAGAAAAAGAAAUUAUAGCGAAAAUAAAAUCAAAUCAGAAAGGGAGGUAACAAGAGAAGAAAGGAACAAAGAAACCAUGAAACAGUCAGAAAACAACAAAAUGACAAGGGUAAGUCCUUACCUAUCAAUAAUUACUUCAAAUGUAAAUGGAUUAAAUUCUCCAAUCAAAAGACAUAUAGUUCCUGAAUGAGUAAAAAAUACAAUCAACAAUAUGUUGCCUUCAAGAAACUCUACCUUUAAGGAAGCACAUAAGUGAAAGGUGAAGGGAUAGAAAAACCCUAUUCUAUGCAAGUGAUAAACCAACAAAAGAGAACAGGAGUGGCUAUAUUCAUUUCAGAUGAAAUAGAAUUGUCAAAAUCUGUCACAGAAGACAAAGAAGGUCACUACAGAAUGAUAGAGGUGUCAAUUCAUCAAGAGUAUAUAAUAAUUGUAAAUAUAUAUGCAUCCAACAUUGGAGCACCUAAAUACAUAAAUAAAGCAAAUAUUAACAGGUCUAAGGUAGAGACAGCAAUGCAAUAAUAGUAGGAGACUUCAAUAUUCCACUAAUAACAAUGGAUAAAUCAUUCAGACAGAAAAUUAACAAGGACACACUGGACAUCAGUUACACUUUAAACCAAUGGACCUAACAGACAUGCACAGCAAUCUUAAAAUUUAUAUAAAACCACAAAAGGCAUGGCGUAGUCAAAGCAAUCUUGAGUAAGAACAAAGCUGGAGGCGGGCGCCUGGGUGGCUCAGUUGGUUAAGCGACUGCCUUCGGCUCAGGUCAUGAUCCUGGAGUCCCGGGAUCGAGUCCCGCAUCGGGCUCCCUGCUCGGCGGGGAGUCUGCUUCUCCCUCUGAUCCUUCCCCCCCUCAUGCUAUCUCUCGCUCUCAUUCUCUCUCUCUAAUAAGUAAAUAAAAUCUUAAAAAAAAAAAGGUCUAUGAAAAAGAUUAUAAUCUCACCCUGUUUUUAAAUGAAUUAUUCUUCUAAAUUUAUUGCCCCAAAAUGUCAUUAAAUAUGUGCUUAACUAUUAUCAGAAAAACAAUAUUGCUCAUUUGAAGCAUAAUUUGCAAGGGUACAUUUGAAACCUCUAAAUUAUUCACAGCAUUUAAAAGAUGAAUAUGGGGGCGCCUGGGUGGCUCAGUUGGUUAAGCGACUGCCUUCGGCUCAGGUUAUGAUCCUGGAGUCCCUGGAUCGAGUCCCGCAUCCGGCUCCCUGCUCGGCAGGGAGUCUGCUUCUCCCUCUGACCCUCCCCCCUCUUAUGUGCUCUCUCUCAAAUAAAUAAAUAAAAUUAAAAAAAAAAAACAACAACAAAGCAGUCGUAAUCAAAAUAGCAUGGUAUUGGUGUAAAAACAGACAACCAUUAGAACAGAAUACAGAACCCAGAAAUAAACCCGUGCACAUAUGGUCAAUUAGCUGCGACAAAGAUGCAAAGAAUACACAGGGGAGCAAGGAUAGUCUCUUCAAUAAAUGGUGCUGAGGAAACUGGACAUCCACAUGCCAAAGAAUGAAAUUAGGCCCUUAUCUUACACCAGGCACAAAAAAUCAACUCAAAAUGUGCUAAAGACUUGAAUGUAAAACCUGAAACUGUAAAACUCCAAAAAAAUAUAGAGGCACUCUCUAAGCUUAGCCUUGGCAAUGUUUUUUUGGGUAUGGCCGAAAGGCAUAGGCACCAAAACCAAAAAUAAACAAGUGAGACUACAUAAAGCCAACACGCUUCGGCACAGCAGUCAAUCAAUAAAAUGAGAAGGCAGCCUAUGGAAUGGGAGAAAAUAUUUGUAAACCACCUAUCCAACAACAAUUAGUAUCCAAAAAUAUAUAAGGACCUCAUACAACUCAAGAGCAAAAUCCCCCCAAAUUUUAUCAAAAAUUAGUCAAAGGACUUGAAUAGACAUUUUUCCAAAGAAGGCAUACACAUGGCCAAAAGGCAUAUGAAAAUAUGCUCAGUAUCAUCAGGGAAAUGCAAAUCAAAAACCACAAUGGAUGUCUAACCUCACGCCUCUUAUAGGAUGGCUCUUCUCAAAACCACAAGAGAGAGCUAAUGCUGAUGAGGCUAUGAAGUAAAUGAAACCCUGUGUACUGUUUUGGGGAAUGAAAAUUGGUAUGGCUGCUAUGGAAAAAUAAUAUAGAAGUUCCUCAAAAAAAUAAAAAUAUGGCUAUCGUAUCAUCCAAUAAUCCCACUAUGGGCAUAUAUUCAAAGGAAAUGAAGUAAGUUUCUCAAAUAGGUGGCUGGACUCCUACGUCUGUUGCAGUAUUAUUCACAAUAGACAAGAUAUGGAAACAAUCUAAAUGUCUAUCAGCAGACGGAUGGAUAAAGAAAAUACAGUGUGUGUGUGUGUAUACAUAUAUAUAUUGUGUGUGUGUAUAUAUAUAUAUACAUAUAUAUAGUACAUUUUGAAUAAAAAGAGUUUUGAUAUUUAUGGUGUGUUAGAUUAUAAAAUCUCUCUCCUACUUCCCUCCUUAUUUGUUUGUUCUCCUUUUCUUUUUUUUUCUUUUUUAAAGAUUUUUUAUUUAUUUAUCUGAGAGAGAGAAUGGGAGACAGAGAGCAUGAGAGGGGGAGGAUCAGAGGGAGAAGCAGACUCCCUGCCGAGCAGGGAGCCCGAUGCGGGACUCGAUCCUGGGAC